UACGAAGGGGGCUAGCGUUGCUCGGAAUCACUGGGCGUAAAGCGCACGUAGGCGGCUUCUUAAGUCAGGGGUGAAAUCCUGGAGCUCAACUCCAGAACUGCCUUUGAUACUGAGGAGCUUGAGUCCGGGAGAGGUGAGUGGAACUGCGAGUGUAGAGGUGAAAUUCGUAGAUAUUCGCAAGAACACCAGUGGCGAAGGCGGUUGCCUGGGGCUUUGCUGACGCUGAGGCGCGAAAGCGUGGGGAGCGAUCCGG
rnacentral:rRNA from 1 species